rnacentral:rRNA from 1 species
AAAGUGGACUUCGGUCCAUGAGUAAAGCGGCGAAAGGGUGAGUAACGCAUAGGCAACCUACCCCCGACAUCGGUAUAACCUCUGGAAACGGAGGGUAAUCCCGGAUGGCCCCGCGAGAGGGAAUCUUCUUGCGGGUAAAGGAGGGGAUCUUCGGACCUUCCGGUCAGGGAGGGGCCUAUGCCCCAUCAGCUUGUUGGUGAGGUAACGGCUCACCAAGGCAAUGACGGGUAGCCGGACUGAGAGGUUGGCCGGUCACACUGGGACUGAGACACUGCCCAGACUCCUACGGGAGGCUGCAGUCGAGAAUCUUCCGCAAUGGGCGCAAGCCUGACGGAGCGACGCCGCGUGAGGGAUGAAGGCCUUCGGGUUGUAAACCUCUGACACGGGUUAAGAAAGGCAGGGUGCUAAUAUCAUCCUGUUUGACAAAGGCCCGAGAGGAAGCCACGGCUGACUCCGUGCCAGCAACCGCGGUAAUACGGAGGUGGCAAGCGUUGCUCGGAAUCACUGGGCAUAGAGGGCGUCUAGGCGGACCGGUCAGUCGGCUGUGAAAUCCCUCGGCUUAACCGAGGAACUGCAUCCGAUACUGCCGAUCUUGAGGACGAGAGGGGAGAGUGGAACUCCUGGUGGAGCGGUGAAAUGCGUAGAUAUCAGGAGGAACGCCGGUGGCGAAAGCGACUCUCUGGCUCGUACCUGACGCUGAAGCGCGAAAGCUAGGGGAGCGAACGGGAUUAGAUACCCCGGUAGUCCUAGCCGUAAACGAUGAGCACUAAGUAGUGGCGUUUUCGAUGGCGUCACUGCCGU